UUUCGGUUGUUUGUGCAGCAGGAAAUGGAGGCCCAAGUGCUCAAACAGUAGAUAAUACAGCACCGUGGAUAUUAACUGUAGCAGCUAGCAGCAUUGAUCGGUCCUUCCCUACACCCAUCACACUAGGCAACAACCGCACCGUCAUGGUAAUUCUCCAUAAUCUGGAUUUUGCACUGCAUAACAACAUAAAAUAAAAUUUUAUGUUAAUGACUCACUCAUACAGCUCUUUCUGUUGCAUUAUUGAACAACUUGAUUACUUGCAGGGUCAAGCCAUGCUCAUUGGAAACCAUACAGGCUUCGCCAGCUUAGUGUACCCAGAUGACCCACAUGUCGAGAGUCCUAGGUAAAUAUCUUCCAAGGACAGCAACCUUCUGUUCUAACUUGGUUUUUCACUAUUUCUGUUCAGGGCCCUAUUGAUCCCUUGUCCUGCACUGUCACUUCGGAUCCCACCUCUUGGAAGGCCUACAUUUAAAAUCGAGUCCAUAAAAAUUAUUAGACAUCAAAAUUAUUGACUCACUUGUCUGUGAAGCACAUUCUAGCUAUUUACUACCACUCACCUGUUGCAGCAAUUGUCUAUCUAUAUCACCGAAUGACACUUCAGUGGCUGGAAAGGUGGCGCUCUGCUUCACUUCAGGUACAUUUGAGACACAAUUUGCUGCAUCUUUCGUGAAAGAAGCUCGUGGCCUGGGGGUAAUUAUUGCUGAGAAUUCUGGAAACACCCAGGCAUCAUGCAUCAGUG
rnacentral:lncRNA from 1 species